UUCCCAGGCCAGGAAUCAAAUCCGAGCCACAGCUGCGACCCACACCACAGCUGUGGUGAUGUUGUAUCCUUAACCCCCUGCAACAGGCUAGGAAUCAAAUCCACGCCAUCACAGAGAUAAUGUCGGACCCCCAAGACGACAGAAGGAACUCCUGUCCUCUUUAAAGAUUUUGAAAAAGAUUUUGUAAUGUGAACUAUUCAAAGCAACAGGAAAAACGAAAUCACAAGUCAGACGGAAUAAAGGAUUUUGUUUGUUUGUUUGUUUGGUCCUCCUUAAAGGUUUCACAGAAAAACAAGACCAAGGCCAGGAAAAACAUUUACUGACAGAGAUGGAGAAGUGUAAAUGCAUUCCACAAAUGAUCAGAAAAGAUAAAUAACCUGGAUGGGGAAACCAAGUUAAAUGGCUGGGUGUGCAAAUGACAAUAAAUUCUGACUAGGAAAAUGCUAAGACUAUUCUUAGAAUGUUUCACAGGGCCUCAUAAAUGGGAUAAAGUAGCAGAUGAUUUUCAAUACAGGCAAAUAUGUAAGUAAAAACAACCCAAGCUCUGUUUACAUAGUCAUAAUAAUACAUAUUACAUAGUAAUAAUUAGUGAAAUCUCCAUUAAAGCAUCAAUUACCCAGAGAAGUGAACAUGAAUCCUUGCUCAACCCUAAAAUACUAGAAGCAGAAGACAGUCUACAAUGUACAUUGAGGCAUAUUAAUUAAAAAAUUAAAAAAAUACUAGAAGACUUUAGACAAAUUUUUUGUGAAUGAAAGAUCCAAAAUGCGUAAGGCCAUGCCAAGCAGUCUGGACCAAAUAAUUAGUUACAUGUAUGUCAAGAGCAAAAGAGGUUUAGGGGAUGGAAUCACCUAAAAGGUAAAAGCUAGGCAAGGCACUCUACCAUAGAUAUCACAGAAUUUGGAGUACCUUUUCCCCUUUCCUCAUUCCAACAUGUAAAAAACAUGCCAGAAAGGCUAAAUCACCUACCUGAUGUCUCCAACUCUCAAUCAAUUAUAGUACCCAGGACAUGCACAUCCUUGCUUGAGCCCAGGGAACCACUACACUUUAUUAUAAUUCCAGGUUUUACAUCCAUGUGUUCAGUAUACUCAGAAAAGGACUAAAGAAAAAUACAGAUCUUCCUAUUCUUCCUUUCCCAUUCCUAAAGUAGCAAUUUCCUUUUAAAAUAACAAAAAGGUUUUUUUAAAGAACAAAAAUAUUUUAGGAGUUCCUGUUGUGUCUCAGUGGGUUAAGUGUCCAUGAUGAUUCGGGUUCAAUCCCUGGCCUCAUUCAGUGGGUUAAAGAUCUGGCACUGUUGCAAGCUAUGGCGUAGGUUGCAGAUAUGGCUCAGAUCCAGUGUUGCCAUGGUUCUGGUGAAGGCCUGGAGCUGCAGCUCCAAUUUGACCCCUAGCCCAGGAACUUCCACAUGCCAGAGGUGCAGUGGCAAAAAGGAAAAAACAAAAACAAACAAAAAACUGAGGUAAACUCUAUGGCUUCUUUUCCUUUUACUUCCAUACAAAUAAUAUUUUAAUUGUCCUUUCCUAAUUAAAGGAGGGACAUGCUUUGGUGAGAAUGCAUGCAUAAGAGUAGAUUUACAUACAGGUGAGUCACCUCUAGAAAUCUGAAACAUAGGAUCUCAAAAAUUCAAUCUGUGAAUAGUACAAAAUAGUACUGAGACACUUUUCUUUUACUGACAACUUUCCCUAACCCAGCUUCCAGUCAGACAUUAUGAGUUAAAAGCCAAUUCAACCUCUUUCUAGUAAAACUGAGAGAGAAAUUUUUCACCUAAAUGUUAUUUUGGCUCAAAUGUAUAAGAAAUACUAUUUUACUUUAAAGACUAUUUUAUUUUGUAAUUAAAACAUUCCUCUAGAAAUCCAUCAAGCUGUUCUAAACAUGGUUUAUAUCAUAUUACAAUGUUGACUGUAAUAUAAUAUUUGAUUUGGGUCAAUAUACACACAUUUAACACCAGUAGAAAGUCUUCACUGAACAAGAAAUAAUGACUUUCUGCUGUAACUAAGGUGUGUGUGUUAGAGAGAGAGAUUGGGGGAGGGAUGCAAAUUAGUACUACAACAGAUCCUACCUUUCCAUUAAUUUGCCCAUUAAAAAGCAAGGGCUCUUCUUGCAGCAUAAAAAAAUGAAAGAAAUGAAACAAAUACACCUAAGAAAGUGAAUAAUAUUCCAAGGUAGUCACAAUUGCUACUAACACUCAUGAUCAUAAGAAAAUAACAGCCAGGACUGCUUCUUUAUCUCUUUCUCUCCUCUGCAUUAUAUCUACACUGAAUCCCUGGAUCUAUCUACUCCCUACCCAUCUUACUUUAUAGUUAGUCUGUACUAGUCUUUAAAAUCUAGGGAGGAAGUGAUUUUUCCAAACUACUAGAAUAAUAUUUCCGACUAUAUGUAUUUUAUCAUCUCACAACUAUCAAUUUAAGAAAACGAUCCCUUGGAGUUCCUGUUGUGGCGCAAUGUAAAGAAAUCCGACUAGUAUCCAUGAGCACAGAGGUUCGAUCCCUGGCCUCGUUCAGUGGAUUAAGGAUCCUGUGUUGCUGUGAGCUGUGGUGCAGGUUGCAGACAUGGCUUGGAUCCUGCGUUGCUGUGGCACAGGCUGGCAGCUAUAGCUCUGAUUGGGCCCCUAGCAUAGGCACUUCUACAUGCCACAAGUGUGGCCCUAAAAAGCAAAACAAAACAAAACAAAACAAAACAAAAAAAGAUCCUUUUUAAAAAGUUUAUUUCUUUAAAAGCCUCAAAAAAAUCCCUCCACAAAGGAGACAAUGACAACAGGGCUUGCUUCUUUCUUUACUUUGCUCCAUUUAAAAGUCUCCAACAUAUGGCACUAAGAAUACAAACAUUAAAGAAAAAGUAGGUAACUGGACAUCAUGAUAAUUGAAAGAAACUGAAAGGACAACAGAAUCAUACAUCUGAUAAAGGACUUGCAUCUAGUAUAUAAGAACUAUGACAACUCAAUCACAAAAACUAAUUUUUAACUGAGCAAUUUGAACAGACAGUUCUCUAAAGAAGAUAUAGAAACAGCCAAUGAGCACCUGAAAAGAUGUUCAACAUCAUCAUCAUUAGCCAUAAGGGAAAUGCGAAGCAAGACCAAAAUGAAGUAUUACCUCACACCCACCAGAACGGCUAAAAUGAGAAAGACACAUAUUCACAAUUGCUGGCCAGGAUGUGAAGAAACUGGAACCCUCUUACACUGCUAGUGACAAUGUAAAAUGGUGCAGCCACUCUGGAAAGCAGUUUGCCAGGUCCUCAAAAUACUAAAACAUACACCAUACGACUCAGCUAUUCAACUACUAGGUAUAUAACAGGAUGAAGUUAAUGUCAAAUUACAAAAUACAGUUUUAAAAUAGAUCCUCUCCAACUAUUUUAUUUUAGUACUAUUAUUUCCCUGAUCCAGACAUUUAUUUACAUCAAGAUGCCUUUGUUACCCUCAUCAGUGGUAUUCUAUUCAAUCCAUUCCACACUACACUUAGUAGAAGUCUCCCCAAAUACUGCUUCAAAAUCUUUCAUGGGUGCCUCAAAUUUGUCAGUCAAGGCUUCUUACAAUCUGAUCUUGAUCCACAUUUCUAAUAAUACCCCAUGAAUAUCAGGCCAAGAUCUUCAGAUCUGUCUUUUUUGUCCAGGAUAUAAACAAAGAAUAAAAUUAAGAAAAUUUUAACAUAUCUAAGCCAUCCUUCAGAGUUCAUCAAAAGCAUAUGUAAUGAGCUGACCACAAACAGUUUUAAUGCUAUUAUUCUAAUAAAAUUAUUCACCCAGGAAACACUGUAUCAUUUUAACAAAUCAAAUCCUUAAUUAAUUAUUGUGCCUAUAUAAUCUUGGAGAAAUCACAUAGAU
rnacentral:lncRNA from 1 species